rnacentral:rRNA from 1 species
UACGUAGGGGGCAAGCGUUGUCCGGAAUUAUUGGGCGUAAAGCGCGCGCAGGCGGCUUUGUAAGUUUGGUGUUUAAUCUCAGAGCUCAACUCUGAUUCGCAUCGAAAACUGCAAGGCUUGAGUGCAGAAGAGGAAAGUGGAAUUCCACGUGUAGCGGUGAAAUGCGUAGAGAUGUGGAGGAACACCAGUGGCGAAGGCGACUUUCUGGGCUGUAACUGACGCUGAGGCGCGAAAGCCAGGGGAGCAAACGGG